CUAUACGCAGUUUUGUGUUUUACGGAUUUUUGCGCACCAAUCUUCGCACGACGACGAACAUCUUUUUGAGAAUCGGGGAUUUUUGUUUUCUUGUUCUUCCGCUGCGCAUAUGAUGUCGCCCCCCAUUGAUUUCCCAACAAAGAGUUCGGGUGCUUUAGUAUAGAUAUCUGAUCUUCUACUUCAUAGAAAUAAGUGAUUGAUUCUAAGUCAUAGAGAGAGGGAGUUGCAAGCAAGUUC
rnacentral:lncRNA from 1 species